rnacentral:rRNA from 1 species
AGGUGGCGAACGUUAUCCGGAAUUAUUGGGCGUAAAGGAUGCGUAGGUGGUGUAGUAAGUUAUCGGUGGCAAAUCGAGGCUCAACCUCGUGGAAGUCGGUAAUACUGCUAUGCUAGAGGAUAGGAGAGGUUAACGGAACUCCCUGUGGAGCGGUGAAAUGCGUAGAUAUAGGGAAGAACACCAAUCAGGCGAAGGCAGUUAACUAUUCUAUUCCUGACAUUGAGGCAUGAAAGCGUGGGGAGCAAAACGG